AUGACAUCAAUGUUUUCACUUAUCUAAAAUUCUGCUGGACACAUCAGCAAAAAAUCGUUAUUUGAAAACUCUCUCUACUUCUCAGCCGCCGACAAAAAAUUCUCGUUGUGAUGCUGGAGAGCGGCGGUUUCUUUAGCACCGGCUCUAGUGUCUCCCAUGUUUCCUUAAUUUCUUUUGUUUUCUCAUUGGAUCUUACUUUGCAGGUGGUGUAUAGAUGUAACUCUUCUCGUGUCGGUGGUUGCGGCCGUUUCUUCCUUUAACAGUGUGGCUCGUCAGAGAGAUCGCAGUGGUAGAUUAGUUUUGUAUUAUCUCGCUUGAGAAGAUGUUGUGGUGGUUCUGUGGUGAUCCAUAGAAAUUUGAGACGGUUUUUGCCGUACUGGUUCAUGGUUUUGGCUUAUUGGUGCUAAGGAGAAUUCUCGUGACUCGGGUUUAACAUUUGAUCGUUCCGGUCUUUGAAGGUGUCCGUGUUUGUCCUUUUCAUGCUUUUCAUGUGGUUAGAUGGUUUUCCUGUCUGCGGAAUUUUAGUUUUUGUUUGGGGAGUCACUUGGUGUUCUCGAUUGUUGAGUUAAAAGUGGUCUAAGCGGCAAGAUCUGUGGAGGGUACUGAUUUCAGUGAAGAUGAUGGUUUCGGAUCAGUUAAAUCAUCGGUUGGUUCGAUUAAUAAGGCCAUUUUGGUUUGUUGGGUCCUUUCAUAGAUCAUGUGCCGGUCUCGUGUUCAUUCGUUUCUAUCCCACAAGGAUGGAGUAAUUGUAGGUUCUUGUCAGCUUUCGUUCAGCCAUUACCUUUCCUUUUUGUUCUAACUCUCCACCUUUAUGCUAGUAGUUCCCUCUAGACUAGUUCCUUUUCUAAACAAAGGAUUCAUUCUAUUUGAAGAUGUGUUAGUUUUCUAAAGUUUACAGAUGGUUCUUUUCCUUUGGAUGUUUGUUGUGGUUGAUAGCUGUAUCGAUCCUUUGUCUUUCUUGUCCUUAAGAUCGUUGAUAAUCGAGAGGUUACUUUGCUCCU